UACGAAGGGGGCAAGCGUUGUUCGGAAUUACUGGGCGUAAAGGGCGCGUAGGCGGUGCACUAAGUCAGGCGUGAAAUCUCCGGGCUUAACUCGGAAAGGUCAACUGAUACUGUGCGACUAGAGUGCAGAAGGGGCAACUGGAAUUCUCGGUGUAGCGGUGAAAUGCGUAGAUAUCGGAAGGAACAUCAGUGGCGAAAGCGACUUCCUGGACCAGUACCGACGUUCAGCACGAAAGCGUGGGGAGCAAACAGG
rnacentral:rRNA from 1 species